UACAGAGGGUGCAAGCGUUAAUCGGAAUUACUGGGCGUAAAGCGUGCGUAGUCGGUUAUCUAAGUCAGGUGUGAAAUCCCCGGGCUCAACCUGGGAACUGCAUUUGUGACUGCACAGCUGGAGUGCGGCAGAGGGGGAUGGAAUUCCGCGUGUAGCAGUGAAAUGCGUAGAUAUGCGGAGGAACACCGAUGGCGAAGGCAAUCCCCUGGGCCUGCACUGACGCUCAUGCACGAAAGCGUGGGGAGCAAACAGG
rnacentral:rRNA from 1 species